rnacentral:rRNA from 1 species
GACGAACGCUGGCGGCGUGCUUAACACAUGCAAGUCGAACGGAAAGGCCCUGCUUGCAGGGUACUCGAGUGGCGAACGGGUGAGUAACACGUGGGUGAUCUGCCCUGCACUUCGGGAUAAGCCUGGGUAACUGGGUCUAAUACCGGAUAGGAGCCAUUUUUCGUGUGAUGGUUGGAAAGUUUUUUCGGUGUAGGAUGAGCUCGCGGCCUAGCAGCUUGUUGGUGGGGUAAUGGCCUACCAAGGCGGCGACGGGUAGCUGGCCAGAGAGAGUGGACGGCCACAUUGAGACUGGGAUACGGCCCAGACUCCUACGCGAAGCAGCAGUGGGGGAUGUUGCACAAUGGGCGCAAGCCAAAUGCAGCGACGCCGCGGGGGGGAUGACGGCCUUCGGGUUGUGAUUACCUUUCGCUAGGGACGAAGCUUUUUGUGACGGUACCUGGAGAAUAAGCACCGGCUAACUACGUG